AGAGCAUAGCCUCCUCCGCCCAAGGGAGGAGCUGAAAUCUUAGCCCAUGGAUGCUCCAUUCUCAGGUUUCUCGAGUGCUCUUGUUUUAAGAGGUUGAGUUCCCUGUCCUUGAAUCUGAGGCAUUGUUCAUUAGAAAAGUAGGGGAGGAGAUCACUCAGCAGAGUACCAAGGACAAUGAAUGAGAUAGUGCGUGAGGAGACUUCAACCACAAAGAACUUUCAUCAGCGUAAAAAAAGGCAUUCGCAAAGGAUUCAGAGUAGUAGAACAUUGUAUUCAAAUGACGAGAGCAUGAUAGAUACUAAUAAGUUUAAAUUUUAU